UCUCCGUAGGUGAACCUGCGGAGGGAUCAUUACAGAGUUCAUGCCCUAACGGGUAGAUCUCCCACCCUAUGUUAUCAUCACUUUGUUGCUUUGGCGGGCCGUCAGGCCUCGGCUUGGCUACCGGCUCUCGCUGGUAAGCGCCCGCCGGAGAACCCCAAACCCUGAAUAUCAGUGUCGUCUGAGUACUAUAUAAUAGUUAAAACUUUCAACAACGGAUCUCUUGGUUCUG
rnacentral:misc_RNA from 1 species